rnacentral:lncRNA from 10 species
CUGGACCUGCUGCCACCCUCAGAGCUGCAUGCUCCUUCUUCAGACUUUCUAAGAAUGACUCAGGUCAUUGGUGGAGUGAAGCCAAGAUUUCCAACUCAGUCACCUGAAGAGAUGGAGAUACCAUUCAUGGAGCUGGAGAUCCCUGAAGAUAUGGGAAUUCAGAAAACAAGCUAAGAUAAGGGUGUCAGCCCCCCAACCCCCAGACAUGUCUCAUGACCACUGAGUCAUGCAUCAAUGAUGGGUGUGGGUGUGUGGAUGGAUGUAGCCAAGCCCAUUGACCGAGGACUGAGACAUACUCCCCACUAAUCAACAAGUUAACAAGCUCUCUGAUGAGGAGGCAGUGAUUAAUGAACCAAUCGGCUUGCCCU